GGUCUGCGGUGCAGUCUUCUCAGUCAGCAUUUCUGACGGAAUCAGUGGGAUGCCAUACUGAAAGUGAAAGUUCUGCAGGCUGUGAAAUUUGGCCCUGGCAAGGAUGAGGUUCUGAUCUGGAGCUUGGCAGUGUCUGGACAUGUGGCUGUCCCCAUGGACACAGUGUCAUCGCCAGCAGAACCCUGACAGUUCCUGGGAAAAUCCCCUGACUUUUCACACAGAGAGGGCCAGAAAGGUCCUUAAACGCCCGAAAAUCAAUUAAUCAAAGAACUGAUCAUUGAGUGGCUUCAUUCCAAGAGUACUCUCUCCUCCUUCCUUGGUGACAGCUGCUAUGACAGGCUUCUUUCCAGCGUGAAGUUCUCCACAUGCUGCUCGGUGCUCUGAGGAGAGAUCUCUGCAUGAUAUGAGACUCAGUGCAUGGGUGAAGUGGCAGCAGCCUGUCUGGACACCUGCAGGAAAAUCUUGCUCUAACUACCGAACUCGCUGGGUAAUUGUAUCUCACAUUCUGCAGGAAGAGAUUUAUCUUGGUGGAGGCUGUCUAUUUUCUACAGUCUUUAGAGCAUCCCGCUCUAAUAGCUGAACCCCGAUGCAGGAGGUAUCUGCCUCACUACACAGAACCACAUGUUGUAUUCCUAUGUAGGACUUGUAUAGCAGAAGUGAAAUGGCUCAUAAUCUUUACAUAAACUUAUUUGCU
rnacentral:lncRNA from 7 species